rnacentral:rRNA from 1 species
UACGAAGGGGGGCUAGCGUUGUUCGGAUUUACUGGGCGUAAAGCGCACGUAGGCGGAUUGUUAAGUGAGGGGUGAAAUCCUGGAGCUCAACUCCAGAACUGCCUUUCAUACUGGCAAUCUAGAGUCCGGAAGAGGUGAGUGGAACUCCUAGUGUAGAGGUGGAAUUCGUAGAUAUUAGGAAGAACACCAGUGGCGAAGGCGGCUCACUGGUCCGGUACUGACGCUGAGGUGCGAAAGCGUGGGGAGCAAACAGG